UCUCUCAGACCUCAACCCCAAACCGUGAGAACCCCCAUCCUCUCGAGCAUCCUCCAUCUGUGGCUCUUCCAAGCUCCGCCGGAGACAACUGUGAGAACCAUCAGAGACGGAGACGGUUCCUCUGAGCUCCAUGGGUAUCUCUCUAUUUCAAUGUUUCAAAACCUGUAUUUGACUUGUUUGGGUUCUUCUGGUACAUGCACCAAACAACACAUUAACUGCAAGACAGUGUACUCAUUAUGAAUUCCGGGCAAAAGGAUUUUCUAUAAUAAAAGACUUUGGAUUUUGAUUGAUUUAUUGAGGUAUUUACUCUUCAAAUGUGUUUAUUCUCUAUAUUUAGUAUUGUUUAUUUUGGUUUUUUUUUUCAUUAUGUGCUAUAAGUUGAAGAGAAUACAUGUUUCAACUGAAUUUUUGUAAAACUUUAAUGUAUGUAGAAAAAUAUAUGUUGUUCUAAGAGAACCCAAUAUAGAGUCAAGUGGAGGUUAAUCCAAUUCCAUGUAAUUAAUACAAUAUGUUUAAGCUAUAGCUACCUAUAACUAGAUUGAUAUUUACACAUAUUUAGUCCUAUUUAAAAUAGUAUAUUUGUUUUUUAUCAAGAAAAAGAAGUCUUACUAUUUUUACAAGUUUUGAGUUUCUCAUAAUAAUAUGUAUAUUUGUUGCUCUUUGUGAUGUUAUUUUUCUUUAAUUACUUCCCAUCCUUUUGUAAUAGUCUAUCAAUUUUCUUGAUGCAACUAUUUUUCCUCAAGAAAUAUGGAGUCAGGUUUACCCAAGAAAAAAUAUGAUAUAUUUCUAAUUAAGAUGUAUGGUACAUGUGUGUGUUUUUUUAGGGAAAUUUAUGUAUAUAUGUACCAUACAUCAACUCUGAGCAAGCAAUUUGCGUUCAUUAAAAAAAAAUAGAAAGAAAAAAGUAGUAAUGAGUGAAUCAAUAAAAUUAUACAAUAAAUAAUAACCAUAAGAUUUAUGUUAUU